rnacentral:rRNA from 1 species
GACAGAGGGUGCGAACGUUGUUCGGAAUUACUGGGCGUAAAGCGCAUGUAGGCGGCCGAGCAGGUCGGAUGUGAAAGCCCUUGGCUCAACCAAGGAAGUGCAUUCGAAACCGCUCGGCUCGAGUCCCGGAGAGGAAGUUGGGAUUCUCGGUGUAGAGGUGAAAUUCGUAGAUAUCGGGAGGAACACCGGCGGCGAAAGCGGACUUCUGGACGAGGACUGACGCUGAGAUGCGAAAGCGUGGGGAGCAAACAGG